rnacentral:rRNA from 1 species
UGGGGAAUCUUGCGCAAUGGGCGAAAGCCUGACGCAGCAACGCCGCGUGCGGGAAGAAGGCCUUCGGGUUGUAAACCGCUUUCAGAAGGAACGAAACUGACGGUACUUUCAGAAGAAGGUGCGGCCAACUACGUGCCAGCAGCCGCGGUGACACGUAGGCACCAAGCGUUGUCCGGAUUUAUUGGGCGUAAAGAGCUCGUAGGCGGUUCGGUAAGUCGGGUGUGAAAACUUUGGGCUCAACCCAAAGCGUGCAUUCGAUACUGCCGUGACUAGAGUUCGGUAGGGGAGUGGGGAAUUCCUAGUGUAGCGGUGAAAUGCGCAGAUAUUAGGAGGAACACCGGUGGCGAAGGCGCCACUCUGGGCCGAAACUGACGCUGAGGAGCGAAAGCGUGGGUAGCAAACAGG